rnacentral:rRNA from 1 species
UCCUACGGGAGGCAGCAGUGGGGAAUAUUGCACAAUGGGGGAAACCCUGAUGCAGCAACGCCGCGUGAAGGAAGACGGUUUUCGGAUUGUAAACUUCUGUUCUUAGUGAAGAAGAAUGACGGUAGCUAAGGAGCAAGCCACGGCUAACUACGUGCCGGCAGCCGCGGUAAUACGUAGGUGGCAAGCGUUGUCCGGAAUUACUGGGUUUAAAGGGAGCGCAGGCGGGACUGCAAGUUGGAUGUGAAAUACCGCAGCUUGACUGCGGAGCUGCAUCCAAAACUGUAGUUCUUGAGUG